rnacentral:rRNA from 1 species
UACGGGGGGAGCAAGCGUUGUUCGGAUUUACUGGGCGUAAAGGGCGCGUAGGCGGCGCAACAAGUCACUUGUGAAAUCUCCGGGCUUAACUCGGAACGGUCAAGUGAUACUGUUGUGCUAGAGUGCGGAAGGGGCAAUCGGAAUUCUUGGUGUAGCGGUGAAAUGCGUAGAUAUCAAGAGGAACACCUGAGGUGAAGACGGGUUGCUGGGCUGACACUGACGCUGACAGCGCGAAAGCUAGGGGAGCAAACGGG